rnacentral:rRNA from 1 species
GGAUGCAUGAGGCUAUGGAGCGCGUUAUAACGAAGGCUGCAGGUGUUAAUAGGAAGUACUGGGCGUAAAGCGUGCGGAGGGGGUUUUGGAAUGCGGAUGGGAAAUGCACGGGAGCAACCUGGGAACGGCAUGUGUGACUGGAUAGGUAGAGUACGGGAGAGGGGGGUAGAAUUCCGGGUGUAGCAGUGAAAUGCGUAGAGAUGCGGAGGAAUACCGAUGGCGAAGGCAAUCUCCUGGGCCUGUACUGACGCUGAUGCACGAAAGCAUGGGGAGCAAACAGGAUUAGAUACCCGGGUAGUC